rnacentral:rRNA from 1 species
UACGGGGGGUGCGAGCGUUGUCCGGAAUCACUGGGCGUAAAGAGCUCGUAGGCGGUUUGUUGCGUCGGCUGUGAAAUCCGAGGCUCAACCUCGGUCUGCAGUCGAUACGAGCAAACUAGAGUGUUGCAGGGGAGACUGGAAUUCCUGGUGUAGCGGUGAAAUGCGCAGAUAUCAGGAGGAACACCGGUGCGAAGGCGGGUCUCUGGCAACAACUGACGCUGAGGAGCGAAAGCGUGGGGGAGCGAACAG